rnacentral:rRNA from 1 species
UUAAGUUAUGAAGGGCGCAUGGUGAAUGCCUUGGUACUAGGAGCCGAUGAAGGACGGGACUAACACCGAUAUGCUUCGGGGAGCGGUAAGUACGCUUUGAUCCGGAGAUUUCCGAAUGGGGAAACCCAAUCAUCUUAGUCGAUGAUUGCCUGAGCAGUGAAUACAUAGCUGUCAGGCGGUAGACGCAGUGAACUGAAACAUCUAAGUAGCUGCAGGAAGAGAAAGAAAAUUCGAUUCCCUGAGUAGCGGCGAGCGAAACGGGAAGAGCCCAAACCAACGAGCUUGCUUGUUGGGGUUGUAGGACUGAACAUUUGAGUUACCAAAGUGCGACGUAGUUGAAGUCGUUGGGAAGCGACGCCAAAGAUGGUGAUAGCCCAGUAAACGAAACGUCACACUCUCAGUUCAGGAUCCUGAGUACGGCGGGACACGUGAAACCCCGUCGGAAUCCGCGAGGACCAUCUCGCAAGGCUAAAUACUCCCUAGUGACCGAUAGUGAACCAGUACCGUGAGGGAAAGGUGAAAAGCACCCCGGGAGGGGAGUGAAACAGUUCCUGAAACCAUGUGCCUACAAGCUGUCGGAGCACAUUUACGUGUGACGGCGUGCCUCUUGCAGAAUGAACCGGCGAGUCAUGAUUGCGUGCAAGGUUAAGGUGGAAAAACCGGAGCCGCAGCGAAAGCGAGUCUGAAAUGGGCGUACGAAGUACGCAGUUAUGUACCCGAAACCAGGUGACCUACCCAUGUCCAGGUUGAAGGUGCGGUAAAACGCACUGGAGGACCGAACCCGUAUCAGUUGAAAAUGGUUGGGAUGAGGUGUGGGUAGCGGUGAAAUUCCAAACGAACUUGGAGAUAGCUGGUUCUCUCCGAAAUCUCUUUAGGGGGAGCCUCGAGGUUUAGAAUCAUGGAGGUAGAGCACUGUUUGGACUAGGGGCCCGUCAUGGGUUACUGACUUCAGAUAAACUCCGAAUGCCAUUGAUUUUUACUCGGGAGUCACACGGUGAGUGAUAAGAUCCAUCGUGGAAAGGGGAACAGCCCAGAUCAUCAGCUAAGGUCCCUAAAUAUAUGCUAAGUGGAAAAGGAUGUGGAAUUGCACAGACAACUAGGAUGUUGGCUCAGAAGCAGCCAUCAUUUAAAGAGUGCGUAAUAGCUCACUAGUCGAGUGACUCUGCGCCGAAAAUGUACCGGGGCUAAGCAUAUUACCGAAGCUAUGGAUGCAUCCAUUAGGAUGCGUGGUAGGAGAGCGUUCCAAGGGCGAUGAAGUCAGACCGUAAGGACUGGUGGAGCGCUUGGAAGUGAGAAUGCCGGUAUGAGUAGCGAAAGACAGGUGAGAAUCCUGUCCACCGAAUGACUAAGGUUUCCUGGGGAAGGCUCGUCCUCCCAGGGUUAGUCGGGACCUAAGUCGAGGCCGAGAGGCGUAGACGAUGGACAACAGGUUGAUAUUCCUGUACCAGUUGAUUGUGCUUGAGUGAUGGAGUGACGCAGAAGGCUAAGCGAUCCGGACGAUUGGAAGUGUCCGGCCAAGCAGCAAGUCAGUUGAUGAGUCAAAUGCUUAUCAGCGGGUUGACAAGCUGUGACGGGGAGCGAAAUUAUAGUAGCGAAGUCGUUGAUGUCACGCUGCCGAGAAAAGCUUCUAGCGAAUAAUCAACUGCCCGUACCGCAAACCGACACAGGUAGUCGAGGAGAGUAUCCUAAGGUGAGCGAGCGAACUCUCGUUAAGGAACUCGGCAAAAUGACCCCGUAACUUCGGGAGAAGGGGUGCUGAUCGCAAGAUCAGCCGCAGUGAAAAGGCCCAGGCGACUGUUUAUCAAAAACACAGGUUUCUGCAAAAUCGUAAGAUGAAGUAUAGGGGCUGACGCCUGCCCGGUGCUGGAAGGUUAAAAGGAAGAGUUAGCUUCGGCGAAGCCCUGAAUUGAAGCCCCAGUAAACGGCGGCCGUAACUAUAACGGUCCUAAGGUAGCGAAAUUCCUUGUCGGGUAAGUUCC